CCUACGGGAGGCAGCAGUGGGGGAUAUUGGACAAUGGGGGGAACUCUGAUCCAGCGACGCCGCGUGAGUGAAGAAGUAUUUCUGUAUGUAAAGCUCUGUCAGCAGGGAAGAAAGAAAUGACGGUACCUGACCAAGAAGCCUCGGCUAACUAUGUGCCAGCAGCCGCGGUAAUACGUAGGGGGCAAGCGUUAUCCGGAAUUACUGGGUGUAAAGGGAGCGUAGACGGUUAAGUAAGUCUGGAGUGAAAGGCCGGGGCCCAACCCCGGGACUGCUCUGGAAACUAUUGAACUUGAGUGCAGGAGAGGUAAGCGGAAUUCAUGGUGUAGCGGUGAAAUGCGUAGAGAUUAGGAGGAACACCAGUGGCGAAGGCGGCUUACUGGACUGUAACUGACGUUGAGGCUCGAAAGCGUGGGGAGCAAACAGGAUUAGAUACCCUUGUAGUC
rnacentral:rRNA from 1 species